rnacentral:rRNA from 1 species
AUUGAACGCUGGCGGCAUGCCUUGCACAUGCAAGUCGAACGGCAGCACGGGUGCUUGCACCUGGUGGCGAGUGGCGAACGGGUGAGUAAUACAUCGGAACAUGUCCUGUAGUGGGGGAUAGCCCGGCGAAAGCCGGAUUAAUACCGCAUACGAUCUACGGGUGAAAGCGGGGGACCUUCGGGCCUCGCGCUAUAGGGUUGGCCGAUGGCUGAUUAGCUAGUUGGUGGGGUAAAGGCCUACCAAGGCGACGAUCAGUAGCUGGUCUGAGAGGACGACCAGCCACACUGGGACUGAGACACGGCCCAGACUCCUACGGGAGGCAGCAGUGGGGAAUUUUGGACAAUGGGCGAAAGCCUGAUCCAGCAAUGCCGCGUGUGUGAAGAAGGCCUUCGGGUUGUAAAGCACUUUUGUCCGGAAAGAAAUCCUUGGCCCUAAUACGGUCGGGGGAUGACGGUACCGGAAGAAUAAGCACCGGCUAACUACGUG